CUCCGCUCUGCCCGGCGGCCUCGGCGCUUCCCUCGCCGCCCUGCGGGGCUGCGGCGCCUCCCCCUGCCCCGCCGCCAGAGCAGGGGGGCCGGCAGCCGGGUCUGCUCCCCGGCGGAGCGGCCCCACCGCCCCCGCUCUAGUGCAUUCGGCCGAGAGGAGGUUCCCGCCCGGACACCGGCCCUGGCUGGGAGCGGCUGCGCGCUCCGCUUCCUGCUCGCUGGAACCGCGGCGUUGGCCUUGCUCGGGGCUGUGGGGGAAAGCCUGCCCCCGAGGAGAGUGCCUGCGGAGAUGGUCCCCUGUGCAUGGGGCGUUGUCGCUUCUAGGCCUGAAAGCUAGAGUUUUAGGUGAGAUGUAAAAACUAAGAUAUGAGUGAAGAGCCCAAACCCAGCUGCGGCAGGGCCAGAGUUGAGUGGGUAAACUUCACGAACAGAUGGGGAAUGUGAGCCUUUUUUCCUUCUUUUUUUUUUUUUUCUUUACCUGCAACAUUUUUAAUUGUGUUUAUUAAUCUGGAGAAUAAAUUGUGUCUCAGUUAGGUAGGAUUCAGUUAGCUUAGCUCAAGUGUUCUUGUCGUGUAUGCCCUUCAUACAGAGCUCAGAUAACAUAUGGUGUUUAUACGAUGCCUACAAACACAUCAAAGUAAGUAAAAUCAGAAUGUAGAGCAACAGCCAGAUAACUGAUCAUGGUUAUGCAUAAAACAGCAUGCAAGUAAAUUGUGAACUCUGUUUAGUACUUCUUUAUCAGGUGGGCACAUUGCUAUUCUCUGGAAAUUUGUGCUUGCAUUUGUGAUUGUUCUUCCUGCAAGGUACUAUUAUAUACAUAAAGUUAAGGGUUUUUUUCUAUAUGUUAUGAUGGUACAUUAACAGUGAUAGUUCAGAACUCAGCACUAUGGAAUUCCACUUUAUAGAUAAAGUAUUUUUGUUAUUGCUUAUCACUGGGCAGUAUAAAGAGCAUUAUUAAUAAUAUUUACAUAUUUCUAGAAAUACUGAUUUUAUUAAACCAAUGAAAUUUGUUUAGUUCAGAAUACAAACAAAUUCAUUGCAAGUACACACAAGCCAUGCUUCAGUUCUUGAGGUUUGAACUCUCGAAUGAUACCUGUGGCAGCAGGAACCUCGUCUGGAGGAAAGAGUUUUUUAUGACCAGCAUUCCUUAAUUCCAUAUUUUUUGUCUUUGUUUUUAUUUCUAUUCUCUGUGCUUUUAAGCACAAAAGCAUUUGGUUUCUCACUUUCUCUAAAACUGAAGUAGGCUCUUUCCUACAAGGUGUUGAAAGGGUGAAAACUUACUGAUUGAAAUGCUUAAAUAUUAUGGUCAUGGGAAUGACAAAGGGCAGCCAGCUCAGUUUUAAAAAGAAUGACAGCUCUCAGAUAAUAUGAGAACGACUGUUGAUCCUGGGGAGUAGCAAUAUCAGGGAUGCUGCAGGUGACCACAGGGUAUUUCUCUGUGAUCUGAGAGGCUUAGAAGUUUGGAUAAAAUUCCUAACAGCAGGUGAGAACAUGUAUUCACACUCUAGCAUGUGUAACCUAAUUAACUUUCAGAGCUCUGGGGAGCAGUGACUUCUUUGGGGUCAGCAUAGGUCUGGUGGCUGAGCACAGCAGGCACAGCUGGGCCAGGCUGUGCCUGGCUGGAGCCAGUGCUGGACCUUCAUUUUCACUUCCAUCCGAGGAGUGAGAGCAUGGGACCACCAGAGGCAGUUGGGCUUUUGCACUGUGUUGAAACAGAGCUCCUUCACUCCAGCUCCUUACUACACACAAGUGGCUCUGUUGUUGGUUUGAUGUCUUCUCAAUGAGCUGCUACUGUGGCCAAGAAUGGAAGUCUGACAGUUUGUUCAAGGCACAUGUGUGUAGCAUGAUAAAAACUCUUACCUGUAUCAAAGGAGAGGAGGUACAAUGGUAUUUAAACCAGAAGAUGUCUCUGUGUUUUUCUUACUAGUCUUUGUUGUUUACAAGAUAUUUCUUUAAUUGCACAAAGUGAUUUCCUACCCAAGUCUGCUCUGCAGUUAAAAUGCUAACUUUAGCAAAAUUAUUAAGGCAGUCUCUAUGAAGAGGUACUUUAUUGUCUCACAAAGAUGAAGAAGAAUUAGAAAUGCAUUCUUACACAAGUACCCACUGAAUAAUGAUGCUCUUGACAACCUCUUGUGUUCCUUUCUCCAUUUUUACUCAUCAAGAACAGGUACUUGGUCUGUGUCUUUGAAUGAGAAUGAUUUGAUGAAACGCAUCAAUAAUAAAGGAAAAAAAAGCUUUGAUACUUGCUCACUCUGAAGCUGUCAAGAGUCAAAUGACAAGAAAUGUUUCAUCUCUCAUACAAAAGGCGACUCUGGCUUGUGGCAAAGCACUCUGUGGUGUUUCUUUUGAUGAGUUGAAAGGGCAGGCCAUGCAGACACUCUUUCUGAGUCAGUCUCUUGGUGAUUUGCUUUGACUAAGGAUUUAAUUGUAGCUGUGCAAAUUUUGUAACUAUUUUAGUGAAAUGAUAUAUGCGGUUCUUCUGUUUUGAAGGAGGAAAUAAUAUGAUUUAGUAUUUCAUGCACUGUGGGAGACAUAUUUCUGCUGUUGCUUCAAACUAAAAUAGGUAUUACUUCUCCUUCAGAACUGUGAGUGGAUUAAAACCUGUAGUGCCUUCCUUUGAGCUUUUGUAGUAAGCACACCUUACUUUCAUUAAGCUGCUGUAAUGAGUAGGUAUGAAAACUAAGGCUGCACCCAUGGAUUAAAAAAAUCAAGAAUGCCUGAGUAAGUUUAGAGAAGAAAAUAAAAUUAUCUGUGUUAUUAAAUCUAUAGUCCUUUAAGUAGAACAGAAUUAUAUCUGGAUAGCUUUGCUGUCUUCAAAAAUGUACUCCAUUUUCUACUGCCUGAAGCACAGCUUUAAAAUACGACUGUAGAAUACCAUUCUGUGGUGUUGUGAUCUGACCAACAGAAAGAAGCUGAGAGGAGUAAUCUACUGAAUCUGUAUGAAGCUGACUUCUGCUAAUUUAAGUGACAAGACUACAGUAAGCUGUGUUUAUUUUGAAAUUACAUGCUGUGUACAGUUUGCUAAUAACUUAAUUGGUGUGGAGGUAAGUCUUAUCAGAUUAUAUUUUUAAAAAUGGCACAUUGGCUUCUGUCAUUAGUUUUGUUUUGGCUAAGAAAAUUUUCUUGAAUUUGAUUUUGUUUUGUAGCAGUGAAGAUAAUUAACUUGCUUUAUUUGGAUCUGUGUUUGCACAGAAGAAACCACAUUUAUGGCUGUUGAGAGAAAAAUAUGGUUUAGUAUGCCAACUCAAUUUAGCACCUGAAAACAUUGUGACAUUUCUCAGUCUUGCAUCAUUCCUGCUAAAAUUGUGUGGUUAAGACUGGAGAAGUUUUAUAUAUCAUGAAUAAAAGUUAAAUGAGGCUUUUGCUAUCAUGGCAAAAUAGUAAAACUUUAGCUUUAUAUAUUAAUUGAAUUUGUGUAAGGUGGGAUUUGGUGAAAUGUUUGGGUUUGGAGGCUUCUUUGAGUCAGAAGUGUUUGAAAAACAAAGGUUGUAGCAAACAUUUGAAGGUGUCCAGAGCUGAGGGUUUUUGGAUGUGACUCCAAAGUUCCACUUUCAUUUUUCUCAACCUCCUGGUGGUUAUUUUAUCUUUAGUGGUUAAAUUGUAAGACUGCAGAUGUCGCAGAAUAUUUGAAGUUUCCUUGCAACAGGUGUCAUAUUAGAAGUUAAUUAGGGAGAAUUUGAAAAGCAAGCAAAAUGCAAAAUAAAAUAGGAUGAGUUGAGAGGUAAGGAAAGAAAAAGGAAUCAAAUUCCACAGAUCUGCAAGAUGGAAAUUUUGUGGGAUUUAUUUCCAAACCUCAUGAAUUUAAAAAAAAAAAAAAAAAAGAAAAGAAAAAGGCGGGAAGG